GCUGGGCACACACCUAUACUCCCAGCUACUUGGGAGGCUGAGGCAGGAGGCUUGCUUGGAUCCAGGACUUCUGGAUUGUAAUGUACUAUACUGAUGGGGUGUCUGCACUAAACUUGGCAUAAAUUGGUGACUUCCUGGGAGCAGGAAACCACCAGCUUGUCUAAGGAGAGGUGAACUGGCCCAGGUUAGAAAAGGAGCAGGUUGGCCGGGCUCGGUGGCUCAUGCCUGUAAUCCCAGCACUUUGGGAGGCCAAGGUGGGCAGGUCACCUGAGGUCAGGAGUUCGGGACCCGCCUGGCUAACAUGGUGAAAACCCGUCUCUA
rfam:Homo sapiens chromosome 22, GRCh38 reference primary assembly.